UACAGAGGGGGCAAGCGUUGUUCGGAAUUACUGGGCGUAAAGGGCUCGUAGGCGGCCAACUAAGUCGGACGUGAAAUCCCUCAGCUUAACUGGGGAACUGCGUCCGAUACUGGAUGGCUUGGAUUUGGGAGAGGGAUGCGGAAUUCCAGGUGUAGCGGUGAAAUGCGUAGAUAUCUGGAGGAACACCGGUGGCGAAGGCGGCAUCCUGGACCAAUAUUGACGCUGAGGAGCGAAAGCCAGGGGAGCAAACGGG
rnacentral:rRNA from 1 species